rnacentral:rRNA from 1 species
UACGGAGGGUGCGAGCGUUGUCCGGAAUCACUGGGCGUAAAGGGCGCGUAGGCGGCCUGAUAAGUAGGGGGUGAAAUCCUGCGGCUUAACCGCAGGGCUGCCUUCUAAACUGUCAGGCUAGAGCACAGUAGAGGCAGGUGGAAUUCCCGGUGUAGCUGUGGAAUGCGUAGAGAUCGGGAAGAACAUCAGUGGCGAAGGCGGCCUGCUGGGCUGUUGCUGACGCUGAGGCGCGACAGCGUGGGGAGCAAACAGG